rnacentral:lncRNA from 1 species
GCAGAUCACGAAAUUGGAGGGAUUGUAAUUAACCUUUUUGAAUGCUUGAGACUGAAUUAGAGAAGAACUAUGGCAACCCCUCCAAGCAAAAUAGGCCAAUGCAUGAAUCAUAUAUCUCAUCAGGUCACCGUCUUGCCAAACUUUGCAUUGCCUAAUGCAUUGGAGGUUAGAGUUGUCGAUCUUCUCUCUAAUUGUUUUUCUGACUGUUAGGGUACUGAAUUUUGUAUUGCUAAUAAGUAACAA